AUUGAACGCUGGCGGCAGGCCUAACACAUGCAAGUCGAACGAGUGGCGGACGGGUGAGUAAUGUCUGGGAAACUGCCUGAUGGAGGGGGAUAACUACUUGAAACGGUAGCUAAUACCGCAUACCAUCAGAUGUGCCCAGCUGGGAUUAGCUAGUUGGUGGGGUAACGGCUCACCAAGGCGACGAGCCCUAGCUGGUCUGAGAGGAUGACCAGCCACAAUGGAACUGGGAAACGGUCCAGACGCCAACGGGAGGCAGAAGUGGGGAAUAUUGCACAAUGGGCGCAAGCCGGAUGCAGCCAUGCGGAGUGUAUGAAGAAGGCCUUCGGGUUGUAAAGUACUUUCAGCGGGGAGGCGUUACCCGCAGAAGAAGCACCGGCUAACUACGUGCCAGCAGCCGCGGUAAUAC
rnacentral:rRNA from 1 species